rnacentral:rRNA from 1 species
CCUACGGGAGGCAGCAGUGGGGAAUUUUAGACAAUGGGCGAAAGCCUGAUCCAGCAAUGCCGCGUGAGUGAAGAAGGCCUUCGGGUUGUAAAGCUCUUUCAAUCGAGAAGAAAAAAUCAUGACUAAUAAUCAUGAUUAAUGACGGUAUCGAUAGAAGAAGCACCGGCUAACUACGUGCCAGCAGCCGCGGUAAU